rnacentral:lncRNA from 1 species
GUUGAAAAAGGAGGCAGUAAGAGGGCUGCUGCCCAGGAGGCGUUCGAUCCUUUUCACAUGUCUUAACAUCAAGCCAGCAGCUGCUACCACAUCUGUAUUUGUGCAUCUGAUUUUCCUUGCCUAAAUGAGAAAGUCUGCAUUUUUCUAUGUUGCAAAUGUUUCUGUUUUGGACCAACUGUCCAAUCUGUUAAGGUAUUUAAAGACCCUCCCACUUUAGGGUCAUUUGGAGAUCAGAUGUGUUGGCCUGCAAUAUGCACAGCCGGUGCCUGGUGCCCGUGGUGGCUGGGAGUAACAGGAGGUGCGGGCCGCCAUAUCUGGAGGUACCGGGCAGAUUAACAUAACGUAUAUAACUGAAAACCAACUACAUAACUGAGGAACGACCUUGUAAGAUCUGAAAGCUUAAAAGAUAAUCUGACUUUGGAAAUUUCAUCAUGCAGAAGGAGGAGGAAGAGGGAUCGCUGCACUACAGGAGACCAGAAGGAAGAGGAGAAUAUGAGAGGAGAGGAUUGCACAGAAAGGCAAGGCUUAUUCCCAUUGUGAUAAAAACUCUAAGAGCCUGCAGGAUACGGAGGAAGCUCUGAACCUACUCUUCGCCCACAGAGCGAACACGCCAGGACGUGGAGGAUGGUCAGCAUGCCAGGAUUGUCACUAGGAGACACUCAUUUUAGUGAUGUAUCACUUGAAAAUAAAAUAUAAUAAACCAAAAGUGUGCUCCA